ACCUGGACACACUUAAUGGGAUCUAAAAGCAAUGCUUUUUCUUUGCUUAAGUCAUUCCUGUGUUUGGUUAAAACCCAAUUUGAUGCUGUGGUUCAAACUGUUUGAAGUGACGAUGCUUUAGAAUUGGGGUCUAGCAUUGAGGGUACAUCUUUCUUUAGUAGCCAGGGGAUUAUUCAUCAAACCACCUGCCCUCAUUCUCCUCAACAGAAUGGUGCUGUUGAAAGAAAGCAUAGAACCCUUCUUGAAACAUGUAGAGCUUUACUUUUCCAAUCUUGGCUACCUGUGUCUUUCUGGGGGGACUAUUUGUUGACUGCCACUUACCUCCUUAACAGAAUACCAUCCAGAUUGCUUCACAAUAAGUCUCCUAAUGAAAUUUUGUAUGGGAAAGCUCCGAUCUUGCUUCCAAGAAAUGUUUUGUUUCCAAAGAUGUUAUAUUCCAUGAAACCUGUUUUCCUUUCAAACUGCAUCCUCUUCUGUUCAUCCUGCUCCUUCAUCCUUUCCUUUUGUUCCACCUGUAGAACAUUCUACUGAUCCAGAUCCUUCCAUUCCUAUCUCCUCUCCUCUUCCUCCUACAUCUGUUCAAGCACUUCAUCAUGUUGCUCCAAAUUCUACUGAUCCUGCUUUCAUUCCUUCUUUCAAUCCAAUCCUGAUAUCUCUCCUCCUGCUUUGGCCUCUUCCCCAUCUUUUCCUGCUCCCAGAAAAUCUCAAAGACAGCAUAAUCCUCCCUCUUACCUUAAGGAUUAUGUCUNNNNNNNNNNNNNNNNNNNNNNNNNNNNNNNNNNNNNNNNNNNNNNNNNNNNNNNNNNNNNNNNNNNNNNNNNNNNNNNNNNNNNNNNNNNNNNNNNNNNNNNNNNNNNNNNNNNNNNNNNNNNNNNNNNNNNNNNNNNNNNNNNUCACUCUAUAUUACUCUCAAGCUGCAUCUGUUCCAGCAUGGCAGGAUGCCAUGAGAAAGCAGUUUGAUGCUUUGGACACAAACCAUACUUGGAAUGUUGUUCCUCUUCCUCCUGGUAAGAAACUCAUUGGCUGCAAAUGGGUUUAUAAAAUCAAAUACAAGGCUGAUGGCAGUGUUGAAAGGUAUAANNNNNNNNNNNNNNNNNNNNNNNNNNNNNNNNNNNNNNNNNNNNNNNNNNNNNNNNNNNNNNNNNNNNNUGCUGUGGCUGUCAAAAAUCAUUGGAAUUUAUUUCAACUGGAUGUUAAUAAUGCUUUCUUACAUGGUGAUUUGGAUGAGGAGGUUUAUAUGAAACUCCCUCCAGGUUUGACAGUUUCUGCUCUUGAUUCUGUUUCUGCCUCCUCUGCCUCUACUCCCCUUGUUUGCAAAUUGAAUAAAUCUCUGUAUGGGCUGAGACAGGCAUCCAGCCAAUGGUAUGCCAAAUUGUCUUCUGCCCUCUAUUCCAGAGGCUAUAGACACUCUUUGAAUGAUUAUUCUCUGAUCAUCAAAGGUACACCAGGGUCCCUUGUGAUUGUAGUCUAUGUGGAUGAUAUUAUUCUUACUGGGGAUGACAGUGAUGAGAUUGGUGCCCUGAAACUGUUUCUGGAUGAUCAGUUCAAAAUUAAGGACCUAUGGUCUUUGCAUUAUUUUUUAGGCAUACAGAUGUCAGUUGUUCCUGGUGGGAUGAUCCUUAAUCAGCAUAAAUAUAUCUCUGACAUGCUGCAUCAGUUUAACUGUGCCAGUGUCUUCUGUUGUCUGUCCUUUGGACAUUAAUGCCAAACUUCAUGCUGAAUCUGGUGACCUUUUACCUUGUCCUGAUCAGUAUAGGAGUCUUGUUGGUAAGCUCUUAUUUUUUACUCAUACUAGGCCUGACAUCUGUUUUGCUGUGCAACAUCUGAGUCAGUUUCUGAAAUGUCCCNNNNNNNNNNNNNNNNNNNNNNNNNNNNNNNNNNNNNNNNNNNNNNNNNNNNNNNNNNNNNNNNNNNNNNNNNNNNNNNNNNNNNNNNNNNNNNNNNNNNNNNNNNNNNNNNNNGUGUUGAGAUAUCUUAAAGGUACCUCCUCUAUGGGUCUUUUUUAUUCUGACUGCAAUGAUUUCUCUGUUGUUGGUUAUUCUGAUAGUGACUGGGCUACCUGCCCUGAUACAAAGAGAUCUGUUACUGGGUUCUGUAUUGUUCUGUGUGGUUGCCUGAUUAGUUGGAAAUCAAAGAAGCAACCAGUGGUUUCUUUGUCUUCUGCUGAGGCUGAAUAUAGGGCCCUCAGUAAGGUUGUUGCAGAAUUGUCUUGGCUGUCUCGUUUAUUUNNNNNNNNNNNNNNNNNNNNNNNNNNNNNNNNNNNNNNNNNNNNNNNNNNNNNNNNNNNNNNNNNNNNNNNNNNNNNNNNNNNNNNNNNNNNNNNNNNNNNNNNNNNNNNNNNNNGUCUAUCAUUCUUAAUUGAUUAUUCUCUUUUCUGUGCUUUGCGACAGUCAGGCUGCUAUUCACAUAGCUAAGAACCAUGUUUUUCAUGAACGGACUAAACACAUUGAAGUGGAUUGUCACUUUGUGCACGAUCAGCUCCAGAAUGGCCUCAUUCAGCUGUUUCAUGUUCCUACUUCUCGUCAACUUGCUGACCUCCUGACCAAGCCUUUGCCUGACACUGUGCUUCAUCCUUUGCUGCUUAAGUUGCAGGUGGUUUCCCCCUCCAACUUGAGGGGGGGGUGUUGAGAUGAGGGAAUAUAUGGCUUCCAAGCCCAAAGCAUAAGUGACAUAGACCUGUAUAUUCAUUGUAUAUUCAUUGUAUAUUUAUUAUAUGUUCAUGGUAUACAUUGUAUAUAUAGGUGAGUAUUGUAGUUGGCUGUGAUGAUUAUUGUUGUUGGACUGUGAGUAUCUGAGCCCGAGUUUAUUUUAAUAUUGGGCCGUCUGACCCGACCCAAGACUGGUGUGAUGUAUAUAUACCUGUACAGAGAUAUUUUGUAAUCAAUCGAUUCAUUUUCCUUGGCAGAGUUUCUCGAUCUUCUAGAGAGUUCUCUCAACUACUCUCUUUUUCUCUCUUCUUUCUCUCACUAUAUCCUUCAUGUUCUUCAGCUUAAUCUUCACGUUUUCAUGGUAUCAGAGCCGGAUGAUCUUCGGAUCCUUCUUGGUUGCGUGUGAUCGAUCAUGUUCGACCUUCCGCUUAAUCUUCACGUUUUCAAUUACUAAAAUAAUUUUCUAAAUAUUAAAUCAUGUAACUCCUUCCAUGUAGUAAAGUUUUAUGUAAUUUCACCGAAAAACUAUUUUUCCUUAGAGCUCUAUCUUUUGACUUCCUUUAUAAAAAUUUUAUUCCAAGGUUGGUUGGUCGGUGACUAAGCAUUGUGUGAGAGUUGAGAUCAUAUCCAUCAAAGAACAAUUUCCUAACACUCUGGCCUUCAAGUACAAGGCGAUUAUCUAACUAUUGCCAAAAGCUUUUUUUGGUCCCUACGAAGUUUCUCUCAAAGAAAUAAUUAUUUUUCUUAAAAUGGUAACCAUAAUAAACAUUUUAAUGAUGAGAAAAUUUUAUUUUAAUAAUACCAUUGUAUACAUGGGCGAUUGUAAUGAAAGGUUUUAUUUCACUCUCUAUUCUGUCUUUUGAUAAUUUCUAAGGAAAUUGGCGCUAAUCUCUUUUCGCUCGACUUUGGACUAUAUCUCUAUGCUUUUUCGCACAAUCUUGCUGGUUCCCAUUGGAAUAGAUGAAUCUUCAUUCUAUAAGUAAACAACCAAAAGUCAUAUAUAACUUGAAUGGAUGUGACUGUUAGUGAAUGAGUAUGAAUUGUAGGUUAGCAUUAUUUAUAGGCGUCACAAUUUUUGUAUGUAUAAUAUUUAGGUUAUUUAGAAGGGUAUUUUAGUAGUUUUAAUUUUAAUUUUUGAGAUUCCCUCUUUUAUAAUAAUAUAAAUAGAUAAGAUAUUAGUGGUGAAAAAUUAAUCGAAGUUGAUGUUUAUACCACAUGGAGCACAUAGUCACAUAUACAAUUAUAAAUUUAUGGUCAUUUGUUUCACUUUAUGUGGCAAAUGCAAACAAAUACGAAGUUUACAAAAAAAAUAUACGUAGUCUUAGAUAUUUUAUAGUAAUAUUUAUAUGACUAUAAUGCUUUUAAAAUUUAUAAUAUUAAAUAUGUCAUAAGUUUUAUAUUGUUCUAAAAGUUUCUCAUUGAAGAUAAAAUUAACAGGUUAAAUGGUCCAAAUCAAAAUUUUAUCAUUAUUUGAAAAACGAAAGGUUGUUGAAGCCAUUUUCACGCCUAAUAACAUGUUUAAAGUUAGCUUAUAUUUUUCAAAGGCAGAAUACAUCGGCGGCCCCUUAAAGUUAUCAUCACUUUUCACUAGGCACUCUAUAUUAAAUUUGUUCCAUUUGAAUACUUAACCAAGACUUUAUUGUGUCAUUUAGAUACAAAAUUUGUAGUCAUCCAAACACAAAAGACGCAUGUAAUUCACACGCUAAAGUGAAGAAUAAAGCAAGCAGACAUGGAUUUAACUUUAGAGUUAAAAAUAAUUUGGAAAUAAAAUAAAAUAUAGUGAAAACGAGAAACCCACCCCACGUAUCAUCAUCUUUCUUAAUAGACUAAUCCUCAACCAUGUUUGCUCGACCUCUGAAAUUGUUACCGGCUUUCACCUUGAGCAAAUUUUGCUCUAUCAAAAUUCUUCCCCUUGUCAUUCACCAAAGCUUGCAAAAGCUUUAAUUAUCUCAAAUGCCAUGAAUCUCCCAAAAGAAAAGUCCGGCGAAUUUAACAAACGAACAUGGAGGCUCUGCCUAUCAUGGCCUAAAUUUUUCCACAAGUGAAUCAAUUAGUGAUCUAUUUUUGUUCAAUUCCUUUUUAUUAAGGCUAUAAUGUACCGAGGCCAAUCUAUAUUAGAUAGUGGUAGAAGUGGAGCAUGGUAAAUCGAGAUCUGGUUGACUAAUGAUGAAAUAAAAGGUGGAUCCUAGUUAAAUACAAUGAAUUCUAGAUCUAAUGUUGGAAGAUAUUGGCGAGACGAACAUCAUCUGAGAAUAUUAAAUAGCAGAUGUUUAUUCGAUGAUUACCAAUAAAUAUUGUAACAUGAAUAUUCAACAAAUGUAGAUAAUGACAAUAAAUGUCGUAACAAAGAAUCUGUCACCCCACUAUUAUAUGAUUUGGAUGAUUCUUCCACUUGACAGCAACGUAGAAGGAUGAGAAGUAAGGAUGGAUCAAGAAUCUUUGGAUCUUGUGACACAAAUUAAAUAACAUAUGCUUGAAUAAGAUAAUCAGCGAAUAAGACAACUUUUGUAUAUAUUCUCCCUAGUCAAUCUUUUACAAUGUGCUCUUAUCAAAAAGUAAAGGUCCCUUUUUGUUCUCUAUCUCUUCCUAUUUAUAAGAGAUAUUCCCUAGAAACCCUAAAAAGUACAACAUAUGAGAUAUCCAAAGAAAUAUUCCUUAUGUCCAUUUCUAAACCACAUUCCCUAGAAACCCUAAAAAGUACAACAUAUGAGAUAUCCAAAGAAAUAUUCCUUAUGUCCAUUUCUAAACCUAUCAUGCCGUAAGUUCCUUACUUUGGUUGCUCGUCCUUGGCAAUAAUCCUUCUCAGGAUGACUCCUCGCUAUUAUGCCAAUGUCGACCCUGUCCUCAACCAUGUUUAUCUACAAUUAUCAAGUCGCCAAAUUUAGACCAAUACAGUUAGUUUCUCUGCUUGUUGAGGUCGUGAUCUUGCACGCCCUCGAUAAGCAGACCAGGUCUGCAUCCGUUUAGAAGAAAUUUGGCUAUGUUAAUUAGGUCAAAUCAGUCGAGGUCAAGAAAAAUAGCGUGGCCAGCGAGGUUGCAGUUGGUGUGGCUAACGUUGGGUGACGUCAUGACCACGCACAUCAUCAUUACCUGUCUUUCCAAUGAAGUAUCUGUGCUUUUGUUGUUUCAAUUUUGGUGCCAUUGACGGUCUGUUGCUUCAAUUCCGACACAACUCAACCCUAUAAAUAGAUUGGGGGGCUUCAUUUUUGAAUUUUUUUAUCAUUUCUCAUUUCACAUCUUCAUUGAUUUUCUUAUCUUCUUCUCCAAUCUCCGCUGUCAAUUCUUUGUAGCCUCUUCAAUUUUAAUCCCUAACUUCUUACCUAGUCAACAUCUUCUACGUUUCGCUAUGGAAAUAUGUCAAAAUCCCCUAGUAUUCAUGAAGAGGUUUUCGAUGCCAAUCCAUAAUCCCUGGCCAUUCCUCCCAGCGGUGAGGAAUUCAUGGUUGAGGAGGAAGAAAGCUUCCCCACCGCGGAAGAGAUAGUCCCCAAGAACCCUUUGGUUAGGCAUGACUUCCCAAAGAAACCCGCUGCUCCUUAUCAGAAGCUUUCUAAGACGGGACCGCCUCACAUAGCCUACCUUCGGUAUAAAUAUCGUAUUCCUCCUCACGUUGAAAUUGUUCCGGGCAGAAGCGGCAUCGCAGAGGUUCAUCAACCCGGAUGUUGUGCUUUAUACGUCUAUCAUUCUUAAUUGAUUAUUCUCUUCCUCUCCUCCCAUUGGCGGAGAAGUUUUACCGAUUUUACAAUGUCUGCCCGGCGCAACUCUUUCCUUAUUUGUAUAAAGUUUUCUUGAUGCUGGCGAAGUAUGCAGAGCUGGCCGGCCGUGAGAUCGACGUUCACCACCUACUGUACAUAUUUUCACCUAGCUUUUAUAGAGGUAUUCUGAUACACCUACGACAUUGUGGGACCACGAGAUUGGUGGUAGGGAUGGAUGUCGCACCUCAUUUUGGCUACUACAACCCAGUGAAGGGCGUAGAUAAGGGAGUUUUUCCAAUUAAAGGACAAUCGAGACGAGAUUCAAUUAUUAAAGAGAAUUUUAGAGUCGCCACUUGGGAUAUUUAUGGUAUCCCAAGUCACCGGUUAGAAUCCCGAAUCGAGGAAAAGAAUGACUCUGUUUACAGUCCGCGAACCAAAAAUCCGGAUAAGGAAUUCUGUUAACCCGGGAGAAGGUGUUAGGCAUUCCGGGAUUCCGUGGUUCUAGCACGGUCGAUCAACUGUCAUAUUUGGCUUAAACUAUAUGAUUUUAGAACAUGUUUUAACUUAUGUGCCUUUUGACUUUGAACCGCUUUUAUCAUAUUUUUAAAGAGAAUUGCAAUGUCGUUAAAAUAUGCCUCGAACCACGUCACAUAAAUACACCCGUGGAUUUUGACAUAUUCCAACUUCGUUGAGAUUUGGAUUUGGGUCACAUAAAUGUGCACCCGUAUUUAGGAAAGUGAAUUAUUUAAGAAUGCGCCUAACGCGACUAACGAGUUAUUAAUUUUGUGGGAAGCCAUGAAAAUUCACUAAAUGGCACACCUCGAUUCUAAUUUUAAAGAAUGUUCGAACUACUUUUGAGGGCCAUAGCAUAUGAUUUUUGUUUAUGUAUGGCACAACUCGAAUUUCCUAUAAGAACUACCAAGAAAAAAGUCUGAAAUGCAUGAAAAUUGACCCAGGGUAUUAGUCAUUCUAAUAUGCCAUGGAAAUGGAAUGGGUAACAGAACAUAACUUAAAUAACAAAAAAGAGGUGCAACCUCAAAUAGCUAUGGAAAUAAAGAUAAACAGCAAAACGAGAUAACAUUAACUUUUGGGGUACCUCAGGAUUUAAUAUACACAAGAACAAACCAAACUGUUGCUUCAAAUCCUUCCUUAUCAGCAACAAUAUUAGGCAUGACACACAUUAUAUAUAAGCAUAACCAACAGGCUCUAACUAAAGAUAAUUAGCUCUUCAAUACAUGGCUUUUCACUCAAUUAUUCAAGUAGUUCCCAACCAGUUUCAAACUAAAGAAAAUGCUACUAAACCCAACAUGAUCAAACAAAUAACAACAACAUCUCUAAUUGAAGGCAAAGAAAACAGUUCAAAAGUAUCAAAUACAAGCCGGAAAUGAGUCGGAAUCUCAUAACUGGACAAGCUUCAGUCAAACAUGCCAAACAAUGAAAUUCAGUAAAAUUCACGAGAAAUCGGCAGCACGGAUUAGUACAUUAACUAGCUCACAAACAUCUUCCGUUAAUAAACAAGGAGGAACCUAGUUAUAUUCAAUUAUCCUAAGAACUCAACAUGUGUACCAAGCCGAUUUAGAGAACUCACAAUAGAUCAAAGUUUGAUUAGAACUUCCACCUUAGUGAUAACUAAUAGUCUCGAUACUUAUUUUCAAGAAAAUUUAAGCAUUCAACACGCGAGUUGGUCCCUCAAACAGUUAACCAUAACCUGAAUGCUUCAGUUCUGAUUUCUCACUUUCAAACACAUCCAGCCAACCAUAGAGAAUAUCUGAUGGCAAGAACAGAUCGACAAGUAUCUCUUUCGAGCGCAAAUCGCAACUAGCAGCCAAUUCCAGACCUAAACUCUACUGAUUCAUUCAUAGAAUCCAACUCUAACAUAGCAUCAAACGCAAACAAGAAUUAUUCACAAACAGAAUUGAUCCAGCCUAGAUGACGAUAUUCAAAAUCCAGAUAACCAAUUAACGCAGUUUAAUAAAGAAUGUCGACCAAACCAACACAAAUACCACAAUCCAUCGCAAACAAAACAAUGAGAAGAGAAAGCAUCCACAAACAGAAUUGAUCUAGCCUAAAUGAUGAGACUCAAAAUCCGGAUAAUCAAUUAAAGCAAUUUAAUAAAGAAUGUUGACCAAACCAACACAAACACCAUAAUCCAUCGCAAACAAAACAAUGAGAAGAGAAAGAGCUUAGUUGAACCUGUUGAGUCAAAAUUCUUUAAGGUUUUGAGAAUCCGUAGAUACGAACUUUUGAGUUCAAAUUUCAGACGAAAUCGAGCAUCCAAAAAUGGAAAAUGGAGCUGAACAAAUACAAAUGAACCCGACCCAGCAACGAGGCUCGAACUGAGGUCAUCCUCGAUCAAAUUCCAGCAGAAUCCAUGCUUAUCAACAAUGGCUAAAUCAAACAGGAACCACAGGCAAAAUAGAGACCUCAAACCGGAAACCUCGUCGAAUUCGGAACAGGCUGCCUUCAAUGGUGACUCCACACUACCCAAACUCAAAAUUAGCUGCAAAUCUGUUUGUGUGUAUGCGUCUUUUCUCCGACGUGAAGGAGAUGGAGUAAGGUCCAAUGGUAGUUGUUCGUGUAUUUUUUCAGAAGAAGCCAAGCUGUCAGCCCUUCUUUAAAAUUUUCUAGGCGCCCCUCCCUCUGUGUUGUUUUGCUGUAUAUGCGUCUCUACUGUAUCUCUAUAUUGUGUAUUGUGUGUAUUGUAUUGUGUGUGUGUUUUUGUGAAGAAGCCAAGCCGUCAGCCCUUCCCCCAUUCCGAGGCGUCUCUGCGUAUCUCUCUUCUCUAUCGUGUGUAUGCUUGUAUAUUUUAACGUGUAUUAUGUGUGUGUAUUUUUCAGAAGAAUAGCAAAGCGGCGCAACCUUCAAUUUCCA
rnacentral:lncRNA from 1 species